AUUGAACGCUGGCGGCAGGCCUAACACAUGCAAGUCGAGCGGAGCGGCGGACGGGUGAGUAAUGCCUAGGAAUCUGCCUGGUAGUGGGGGAUAACGUCCGGAAACGGGCGCUAAUACCGCAUACUAUCAGAUGAGCCUAGGUCGGAUUAGCUAGUUGGUGGGGUAAAGGCCUCCCAAGGCGACGAUCCGUAACUGGUCUGAGAGGAUGAUCAGUGACACUGGAGCUGGGACACGGUCAAGACUCCUACGGGAGGCAGCAGUGGGGAAUAGUGGACAAUGGGCGGAAGCCUGAGCCAGCCAGGCCGCGUGUGUGAAGAAGGUCUUCGGAGUGUAAAGAACUUUAAGUUGGGAGGCGUUACCAACAGAAUAAGCACCGGCUAACUUCGUGCCAGCCGCCGCGGUAAUUC
rnacentral:rRNA from 1 species